GUAUUGCAGUACCUCCAGGAACGG
rnacentral:piRNA from 2 species